UUAGAGGGACUAUCGGUUUCAAGCCGAUGGAAGUUUGAGGCAAUAACAGGUCUGUGAUGCCCUUAGACGUUCUGGGCCGCACGCGCGCUACACUGACGGAGCCAGCGAGUCUAACCUUGGCCGAGAGGUCUUGGUAAUCUUGUGAAACUCCGUCGUGCUGGGGAUAGAGCAUUGUAAUUAUUGCUCUUCAACGAGGAAUUCCUAGUAAGCGCAAGUCAUCAGCUUGCGUUGAUUACGUCCCUGCCCUUUGUACACACCGC
rnacentral:rRNA from 1 species